rnacentral:rRNA from 1 species
UUACCCACCUUUGACAUGUACGGAAGUUGCCAGAGAUGGUUUCGUGCUCGAAAGAGAACCGUAACACAGGUGCUGCAUGGCUGUCGUCAGCUCGUGUCGUGAGAUGUUGGGUUAAGUCCCGCAACGAGCGCAACCCUUGUCAUUAGUUGCUACGAAAGGGCACUCUAAUGAGACUGCCGGUGAUAAACCGGAGGAAGGUGGGGAUGACGUCAAGUCCUCAUGGCCCCUAUAGGUGGGGCUACACACGUCAUACAAUGGCUGGUACAGAGGGUUGCCAACCCGCGAGGGGGAGCUAAUCCCAUAAAACCAGUCGUAGUCCGGAUCGCAGUCUGCAACUCGACUGCGUGAAGUCAGAAUCGCUAGUAAUCGCGGAUCAGAAUGUCGCGGUGAAUACGUUCCCGGGUCUUGUACACACCGCCCGUCACACCAUGGGAGCGGGUUCUGCCAGAAGUAGUUAGCCUAACCGCAAGGAGGGCGAUUACCACGGCAGGGUUCGUGACUGGGGUGAAGUCGUAACAAGGUAGCC